AGCCACAGGAAGAUAUUUGUGGUUUAACCUGCCCAAUGUAUAUAUUUAUAAUUAUUAAUGGCCGCGGUACCCUGACCGUGCUAAGGUAGCGUAAUUAGUUGGCUUUUAAAUGGAGUCAGGUAUGAAUGGGAUAACUGGGUCUAGCUGUCUCUAAAGUGUUUUAUUGAAUUUACUUUCUAGGUGAAAAAGCCUAGUGAAAGAAAAGGGACGAUAAGACCCUUAGAAUUUUGUUUAAGACGUUAAUUAUUUGGUUUCGUUGUGAUUUAGUUGGGGCGACAAGGAAAUAAUCACAACUUUCCUUAUGCAAUACUAGCCGGAUUUUUCAAGAGAGGAAAAAUUACCUAAGGGAUAACAGCAUAAUUCUAUAAAUGAGUUUGUGACCUCGAUGUUGGACUAGGGAGCUAGCAGGCUAGACGCUUGUUGUGCGGAUUCUGUUCGAAUCUUAACUCCU
rnacentral:rRNA from 1 species